UACAGAGGUCCCAAGCGUUGUUCGGAUUCACUGGGCGUAAAGGGUGCGCAGGUGGCUGGAAAAGUUUGAUGUGAAAUCUCCGGGCUUAACCCGGAAAUGGCAUUGAAUACUCUUCAGCUGGAGGUUUGGAGGGGGGACUGGAAUUCUUGGUGUAGCAGUGAAAUGCGUAGAUAUCAAGAGGAACACCAGUGGCGAAGGCGAGUCCCUGGACAACACCUGACACUGAGGCACGAAAGCUAGGGGAGCAAACAGG
rnacentral:rRNA from 1 species